UCCUGAGUUAUUUCAAUCGGUGUGUCAUGGUAUCCUCUUCCGAUUUCAUUCCUUAUUGUAUAUCCUCAUCAAAAUAUAAAAACCCAAAAGAUGUCGUCUCAGUCGCCGCCACCCAUGCCAUCACCAUCAAACAUCAAUCGCGCCAUCUAGACAGCAGUUUCUUUAUUUGUACAUCCUCCAAAUGGGAUAAUUGAAGUUUUAGACUGCUGUUUCAGACAAAUAGCGAGAUAUCUUGAUGAGUACUCGAAACGAUUGAUCAAAAUGGGGUGUUCUUUGUUCGAGUUGAUUUCUGAGGCUCUUGGGCUUACUUCAAGUUACCUCAAAGAUAUUGGCUGUCCAGAAUAAAAGCCGAAUAUGUUUUACUUAUCGUCCUGACGCUAAAAGUCAGGUUGCAUACUUUGGUCACAUGAAGAGCUCUGCUUCAUGAAUGCACUGUUUUGUGUUUUUGGAGCUAUGACUUUUUAAGGAGACGACAAAAUACUUUGAUGGUAGCUCCACAGAAGAUGAUGGACAUUGUUAGAGAAGACAUGUUUAAAACUGCAACCAUCAAGGUUUUACUCUAAUUCACCCAUUAAUUGUCUAAUUUUGUUUAGGCAUGUUUAUACUCCAAUACUCAAUUUUCUUUAAUUGGAAUUAUUUUUUUUUUCU